rnacentral:rRNA from 1 species
UACGUAGGGGGCAAGCGUUGUCCGGAUUUACUGGGCGUAAAGGGCGCGUAGGCGGUCAGCACAAGUCCGUUGUGAAAUCUCCGAGCUUAACUCGGAAAGGUCAACUGAUACUGUGCGACUAGAGUGCGGAAGGGGCAACUGGAAUUCUUGGUGUAGCGGUGAAAUGCGUAGAUAUCAAGAGGAACACCAGUGGCGAAGGCGAGUCUCUGGACGACACCUGACACUGAGGCACGAAAGCCAGGGGAGCAAACAGG